rnacentral:rRNA from 1 species
GUGGGGAAUCUUAGACAAUGGGGGAAACCCUGAUCUAGCCAUGCCGCGUGAGCGAUGAAGGCCUUAGGGUUGUAAAGCUCUUUCAGCUGGGAAGAUAAUGACGGUACCAGCAGAAGAAGCCCCGGCUAACUCCGUGCCAGCAGCCGCGGUAAUACGGAGGGGGCUAGCGUUGUUCGGAAUUACUGGGCGUAAAGCGCGCGUAGGCGGACCAGAAAGUUGGAGGUGAAAUCCCAGGGCUUAACCUUGGAACUGCCUUCAAAACACCUGGUCUGGAGUUCGAGAGAGGUGAGUGGAAUUCCGAGGGUAGAGGUGAAAUUCGUAGAUAUUCGGAGGAAAACCAGUGGCGAAGGCGGCUCACUGGCUCGAUACUGACGCUGGGGUGCGAAAGCGUGGGGAGCAAACAGGAUUAGAAACCCUGGUAGUCC